GAUGAACGCUGGCGGCGUGCCUAAUACAUGCAAGUCGAGCGAACGGACGAGAAGCUUGCUUCUCUGAUGUUAGCGGCGGACGGGUGAGUAACACGUGGAUAACCUACCUAUAAGACUGGGAUAACUUCGGGAAACCGGAGCUAAUACCGGAUGAUAUUUUGAACCGCAUGGUUCAAAAGUGAAAGACGGUCUUGCUGUCACUUAUAGAUGAAUCCGCGGUGCAUUAGCUAGUUGGUAAGGUAACGGCCUACCAAGGCAACGAUGCAUAGCCGACCUGAGAGGGUGAUCGGCCACACUGGAACUGAGACACGGUCCAGACUCCUACGGGAGGCAGCAGUAGGGAAUCUUCCGCAAUGGGCGAAAGCCUGACGGAGCAACGCCGCGUGAGUGAUGAAGGUCUUCGGAUCGUAAAACUCUGUUAUUAGGGAAGAACAUAUGUGUAAGUAACUGUGCACAUCUUGACGGUACCUAAUCAGAAAGCAACGGCUAACUACGUG
rnacentral:rRNA from 1 species